GCCGUGGGCGUUACUAACGGACAGCACCCGCCUCUGGGAGCUCAGAUACAGUGCUGCUUCAGGAACUGUGGACCCUCGGACCCGGCCCCUGUUAAUGUUGAAAAACCAGGAAAUAUGAAUCUUAGUUAAGGACCGCGCGAGGCGUGUUGGAGAAUAUAUUUCCAGCUCACCAAAGUAAAAAAGACUACUCGACUGCACAGAUUCACAGUCGAGUUGAAAUCGAUCUGAAAAAAAGAAUUGGUGCACGUUAAUUUGAACCAAAUCUCCCAAGAGCCAGGACUAAAGGAUCAGAGCUCACCAAAGGAGAUCACAACACGGGGUAUGAGUUCCUGAGAACCUGUUGUAAAUACGCCAGCUAUUUAAUGUCACUUGGAACCUACAAGUUAGCUAACAACCAGAUCUCCUUCCCAAAUGAAGGACCGUGGCUCAGGUGUCCUUGGAUGACCUGAAACUCACAUCUUCCGGCCUAGCUUUGGACUAACGGGCAGGCACAUGGCCUCAGCUCCGGAGUGCUGGGAUUAUAGGCAUGUGCCACCAUGCGCAGCUCUGUUUUGUAUUUUGAGACAGGAUCUUACUUUCUAACCCAGCUGAGUGACAGCAAGCCUCCUGGCCUCUAGAGUGCUGGGUUUUCAGGUGUCUAAAACCAUACCCAAUUUACUUUCUGUAUCUUAGGAUGUUUUGACAUUUCCUGAGGCAUGAAGGCUUGGGGGAGGUUUACGGUUAGGAUGGGUCAUCGUUUGGGGCCACAAAAACGUUCUCUACCAGGAGCGUGGCUAUCUUGAACAAACUAACCAGUCCUGGGUCUGUAUUCCUGACAACUUCCUGAUUUAAGUCUCACACUCAGACCAGUUUUUCUCUUCUCCUAACUCACCCAGAGCCAGGUAUCAGGCGAUGAGCCACCACUUCUGUACCCAAACCCACUGAACUAUUCUAGUUUGCCAACGCUGAGCACCUUGCUGUGCCCAGGUUUGCCCUUCCCUUAGAAAUGCCAGCAAAGUCUCUACCUCAGACUUUCCUCCACAUUCGACUUCUUUGUUUUAAGAGCUUGGGCUACUCUGCAACUUUCCACGUAGCCUACUGACCUUGAACUUGUGAUUCUCCUGUGCCAAGCUCCUGAGUGCUGAGACUGCACCUGCACACUGAGCGUUCUCCCAUCAACCUGUGUUCUACGUCAGACAGACUUGGUGCUCACCCUGGCCCUGCCUAGCCAUGGGACACCCCCCUCUCUGGGUAGGAUCUGUGACUGUAGAACCAUCUUCCUUCCAAGUUUCCUUCGGGUCCCCUCCUGGGGCUAUAAGAGCUUUACUACCCCACCUUCAAUGUCUGCAUCCUUAAUAAGUACAAGUGUCUAGGAAAGCAGCCGUGAGGACACAGGACAGAUGAUAAGCCAAAAGUCUUAACUCACCUCAAGAAAUAGAUGAAAGAAACUCGGAGACUACUGGGAAUUCUCCUCUUUGAGUUAGGAUCCUCUUAGGGGGUGGGGGGCUGGCAACAGACUUGACCACAGGAUUCAGAGGUCAUAGGACCUGAUGGCUUGGUCACUAUCUGUCACACCAAUAAGCCUUCUCAAAAAAAAGAUGAGGGGUUAUUAAGAAAGGAUCCUAGGGGCCAGAAGGAUGGCUCAAUGGGUAAACUGUGAUGACCCAAGUUCUAUCCCCAAGACCCAUACAUUAGAACAAGUUAACUCCUCCAAGUUGUCCUCUGAUCUCCACCUGUGCACUGAGGCCUGCAUGCCCAGUGCCGACACAGGAGAGGACUGUGAUAAAACAUUUAUAGAAAGGGCAUUAGGUCUGAGGAACGAGUGCAAUCGGCAGAGUGCUACCUAGUGUGCAGGAAGCUGGGCGUUCCUCUGCCAAAGCACAUGAAGGGCAGUUGGUACUCGGUCCUGCUCUCCUGCGGGCAGGGUUGCUGGACCAGGAGGUGUCUUCUCUGGGGACACAGUGAGUCCUUUGUUAUCCUACACGAGACCAUGAAAUGCCAUUAAAGGCUCUCUCUCCCACAG
rnacentral:lncRNA from 1 species